rnacentral:rRNA from 1 species
GUCUACGGCCAUACCACCCUGAUCUCGGAAGCUAAGCAUGGUCAGGCCUGGUUAGCACUUGGAUGGGAGACUGCCUGGGAAUACCAGGUUCUGUAGGCU